rnacentral:lncRNA from 1 species
AUUCGGAUUUGUCUCUGUUUGACGUUAAUGUGUAGCUAAGAGUGAUCCCAGGUGAGUCUGAGCCCGCCUUGGUGGGGAAUGAAGCCUGGAGCAUCGAAGCAUUUGUCUUUCUCUUAGAAAAGGCAAGGAAGCCUGAAAUGCGCAGCUCUCCCUUGAACUUCAACUUUUUAAAGGGGAAUGAAUUUCUAAAGGAGGAGGUUCCAGUCUAGGGCUGUAGGGGCCGAGCUGCCGCCCUCCGCCCGUACGCCGCCCGCGGGCUCCGCUGCUGCGGCCGCCGCCCGAGGCGGACCAGGCUGGCUGCGCAGGGCCGCCGCCCCGCGCCGUCGGCUCGGCUCCCGCCCGGCGCAAGGGCAAACGAGCCCCACGGUAAGUGCCUGCGGCUCGCCUCUCCUACUGCGACCCGCGCCUCUCGCCCAGGCCCCUCUCCCCCGGGUUUCCCCACCCCCCGCUGCCCCCCUCCCCCACCCGCUGCGAUGCCCCACACACAAGUCUUCUCGGGGGUGCGCCCCGGGCCGGUGAUGCGUCCUCCUGUUGUGUCCCGAGCCCAGGCGCGGGGUCUGAGCCUCCAUCCGCCGACUGACAGGGGCCCCGCGCUCUCCCUCUCUCACGCACACCUGGCCACACACAUCGCUCAGGCGGCUUGUCGUUAUUUUUUCUUU